UCAAACCCAUCACACCUGAGAGAACUGGACCUCGGUGGGAAUAAAAUAAAACACACAGGAUUGAAUCACUUAUGUGACGUACUGAAGGAUUCACGUUGUAAACUGGAGAGAUUGAGUCUAAAUUUCUGUGGCAUUACAGAUGUUUCUUCUUUAACUCAGUCUUUGACAAACACAAAAGCACUGCAGUUUCUAAAAGAGCUUGAUCUGA